AACAUCGCCUCUUGAACAGAUAUAAGAGGUCCAGCCUGCCCGGUGAUACAAUUUAACGGCCGCGGUAUACUGACCGUGCGAAGGUAGCAUAAUCACUUGUUCUUUAAAUGAGGACUAGUAUGAACGGCACCACGAGGGCUUUACUGUCUCCUCCCUUCAAUCAGUGAAACUGACCUCCCUGUGAAGAGGCAGGGAUACUACUAUAAGACGAGAAGACCCCAUGGAGCUUUAAACCCAACAACAGCCCAAACACCACCACCCCUAAAAGUUUUAACGGUAUUGCUAGUUGGUUUUAGGUUGGGGUGACCGCGGAGUAUAAACUAUCCUCCACGACGAACGGGCCUACCCCCUUACCCAAGAGCUACACCUCUAAGGAUUAACACAUUAACGUAAAAUGAUCCAAAUAUUUGAUCAACGAACCAAGUUACCCUGGGGAUAACAGCGCAAUCCAUUUUUAGAGCCCCUAUCGACAAAUGGGUUUACGACCUCGAUGUUGGAUCAGGGUAUCCAGGAGGUGCAGCCGCUUCCAAUGGUUUGUUUGUUCAACAAUUAAAA
rnacentral:rRNA from 1 species